rnacentral:rRNA from 1 species
GUGGUAGGGGAGACUGGAAUUCCUGGUGUAGCGGUGGAAUGCGCAGAUAUCAGGAGGAACACCAAUGGCGAAGGCAGGUCUCUGGGCCAUUACUGACACUGAGGAGCGAAAGCGUGGGGAGCGAACAGGAUUAGAUACCCUGGUAGUCCACGCCGUAAACGGUGGGCACUAGUUGUGGGAACCUUCCACGGUUUCUGCGACGCAGCUAACGCAUUAAGUGCCCCGCCUGGGGAGUACGAUCGCAAGAUUAAAACUCAAAGGAAUUGACGGGGCCCCGCACAAGCAGCGGAGCAUGCGGCUUAAUUCGACGCAACGCGAAGAACCUUACCAAGGCUUGACAUAUACCGGAAUAUGGCAGAAAUGUCAUAGCUGUAAAAGGUCGGUAUACAGGUGGUGCAUGGUUGUCGUCAGCUCGUGUCGUGAGAUGUUGGGUUAAGUCCCGCAACGAGCGCAACCCUCGUUCUGUGUUGCCAGCAUUUAGUUGGGGACUCACAGGAGACUGCCGGGGUCAACUCGGAGGAAGGUGGGGAUGACGUCAAAUCAUCAUGCCCCUUAUGUCUUGGGCUGCACGCAUGCUACAAUAGCCGGUACAAAGGGCUGCGAUACCGCAAGGUGGAGCGAAUCCCAAAAAGCCGGUCUCAGUUCGGAUUGGGGUCUGCAACUCGACCCCAUGAAGUCGGAGUUGCUAGUAAUCGCAGAUCAGCAACGCUGCGGUGAAUACGUUCCCGGGGCUUGUACACACCGCCCGCCACGUCACGAAAGUCGGUAACACCCGAAGUCAGUGGCCCAACCGCAAGGAGGGAGCUGCCGAAGGUGGGAUCGGUGAUUG